rnacentral:tRNA from 1 species
GCCGGGGUGCCCGAGAGGACUAAGGGGUCGGACACCCUAUCCGAUGCCUCUUUCGAGGCGCGUGGGUUCGAAUCCCACCCCCGGCG